ensembl:lncRNA
GGCGGGGACAGUGAGAAGGCAGAUCAGGUUGUUGUGGGUGACACAGGGAGGGUGUGGCGACACAGACCAAGAAGACUAACAUGUCUCCUCUACACACUCGCCCCUUUGUUGUGUGUGUGUGUGUGUGUGUGUGUGUGUGUGUGUGUGUGUGUGUGUGUGUGUGUGGUUCUAGUGGGCUGCUACUGUCACAUGUGCUCUUUCAUCGGCCCGCUGCCCUUUCAGAUGACAUGCCUGAAACAAUGUACUAACAUGGAGGGAAUUCCCUGUUAGCGCUAGGCCUAAGGCCUGAGUGCAUGUGUGUGUGUGUAGAUGUGUGUGGUUGUUGUUAUGUGUAGGUGUGUGUGGUAUGUGUAGGUGUGUGUGUGUGUAUGUGUGUGUGUGUGGUAUGUGUGUGUGUGUGUGUGUGUGUGUGUGUGUGUGGGUGUGGGUGGGGGGGGUUGUGGGGGUGUGCGUGUGGUAUGUGUAGGUGUGUGUGUGAGAGAUAGAUGAGUGAUUCUUUGGCCUGUGGUCUGAGCAUGGUGCUGGGCUAAUGGCAGCUCCAUCCCGCUGUGCUUUAGCAUGGUGCUAGGCUAAUGGCAGCUCCAUCCCGCUGUGCUUUAGCAUGGUGCUAGGCUAAUGGCAGCUCCAUCCCCCUGUGCUUUAGCAUGGUGCUAGGCUAGCAGUGGAGAACUUCGGAGGAAACCCAAACAGUUGUUCUCACUCCACAUUGUCUAUGUUGGGUGAGUUCAACUGUUUUGGUUCUGUUCCAUCAAUCAGCCUCCUGACCAGAUAUAGCCAUAACCACAACAUUUUAAGAUAUAAAUGUAGCAUUGAGUUAGCAAGUUAGCAUAAUGUUGUCAACUGCAGAAACCUUUUUUAACUUUUAA